AGCCCCAGCGGGACGGCGGCGAGUGGGUUUGGGAGCCGGGCCGGGACACGCGAGGCGACGGGGAGCUCACCGCAAGGCUGGAGGCCCGGAGGCUGCGUCCCCAAGCGCGCUGGGAGCCGAGAGACGGAGAGCGAGCGCUCUGCAGCGGGCGGUGGACGCGCUGAAGGCACCAACCCUGGAGAAGCUUCUGCUGGUGCUUGGACAUGCGCCUGGACCUUGGAGGGCUCUGCUGCCUGGGUGAGGACCCUGUUCCCACCCUGGCUGGAAACAAGGGACCCCGGCCCCCCGCCGGACACGGGGACUCCGACGGCACAAGACACCCACGCCAUGUGAUCGAUAAACCAGAAGUCAGUCGGAAGAGCUCCCCGCUGAGGACCCCGACUGUCCCUGCUCAGCCCCCCUCCGAGCCAGCCGCCUGGGAGAGAGGCACCUGGAGCCCUGCACCCCAGCUCUGCGGAUGCACCCCAGCCCCUCUGAGCCCCACCCCUCCCCCAAGGGGAGAUGGGAACUAAAACGGCCUGGGAGGUCUGGGCCUGCAGCACAGCUCUCUGUGCCGGGGGACACCGGGCCCUGCCCUGGGGUCUGGAGACACUCACCGCUGUGGGCUGGGUGGGCUGCCCGCCUCAGUUCUGAGCCGGCGGAGAUCUCCUGGGCCACAGGCUGCAGCAGCUCACCUGGGGGCUGGGGUCUCGGGCAGCCCUGGCCUGCUGCAGCUCAGGCUGGGGGGCAGCUGGGGCGCGCGGCUGAGCCCGAGGAGAUGUGGGGCCCUGGGGCUGGGGGCUGGAAUCCGGCUGCUCGUCCUCAAGUUCAGGGGUGACUCUUCGGCCCCUGGGGAAAAUAAAGAGUGUGUUC
rnacentral:misc_RNA from 1 species